rnacentral:rRNA from 1 species
CCUACGGGAGGCAGCAGUGGGGAAUAUUGCACAAUGGGGGAAACCCUGAUGCAGCGACGCCGCGUGAAGGAUGAAGUAUUUCGGUAUGUAAACUUCUAUCAGCAGGGAAGAAAAUGACGGUACCUGACUAAGAAGCCCUGGCUAACUCCGUGCCAGCAGCCGCGGGAAGACGCAGGGGGCAAGCGUUAUCCGGAUUUACGGGGUGUAAAGGGAGCGUAGACGGCAUGGCAAGUCUGGUGUGAAAGCCGGGGGCUCAACCCCGGGACUGCAUUGGAAACUGUCAGGCUAGAGUGUCGGAGAGGCGAGUGGAAUUCCUGGUGUAGCAGUGAAAUGCGUAGAUAUUAGGAGGAACACCAGUGGCGAAGGCGACUUGCUGGACGAUGACUGACGUUGAGGCUCGAAAGCGUGGGGAGCAAACAGGAUUAGAUACCCGAGUAGUC